rnacentral:lncRNA from 1 species
CAGGGGCAUGGUCACGUCUGAAGCCUUAGGAAAGGUCUGAGUAGAGGCAGGAAGUGGCCUCUGGCCGAGAUCGCCUUUGCCUGGCCUCAAGGCCAUCCGCUUUCCCACAAGACUCUUGGCCAUGGUUGUUCAGGCCACUGUGAGCUUUUUUAUGAGGCUGGAGGUUUGUAAAACUUAUUAGUUGGUGGAAACUUGCGGGCUGCCGGCCAGCCCUCUGUGGUGGUGGCAGAACCCUGCCCGCAGGACACCCACGUGGCCUGUGACAAUGGGGGGAGGCGGAGGGAAGGGGACCCCAGUUCAGGGGUGGUCAUCCUCGGCUUCCCACAGCCAGGCGUUCUCAGCCGGUACUGGAGGGAGGGGCUGUCGCCUCGCACCCACCGGUCCUCAGGACACUCGAACCAGGGUUGUGACCACUUGGGAGCCUCUGGGUUGGAGAUCAGGCUGGUGGCAGUGCAGGAAGGGAGGACCAUCCCCAAACAGCGUGGCCUUUACCACAAAGGAGCCACCCUGGGUUGUCUCCUGGACACGGGUUCAAAUCCCUGGUCUGCAGCCACCUAGCCAUGUGGCUUGGGACAACAGCAGUAGAAUUCCUGGUAAACACCCACUGGUCCCAGGCUCUGAGCUGAGCUCUCACAUGAACCAAGUCAGUUGUCAACAGCCUGGAAGGGGACCACCAUUAUCAUCUCCUCUCUAAGUCACAUUCUCCUCUGCAAGAGAAGAAGAGUGUGGCGCCCACUUUCUCAUGUCACAAGAGAGACACUCGUCAGCACCUGGUGCACAUUAGCCGCCUGUGGACACAAGCUCUUUCCUUUCCCACCACAAGGCCCUCCUGGAGCUGGCCGCCUCCUCUGCCUUGCUGGGGAGUUCCCUCAGCAGGAAGGAAUGUGCAGGCCCAGCGAUCUCUGGAAACACCCGGAGUCUGCAGAACGUGCUGGACGCGGUCAGCUGUGUGAGACCUUGGCCCCCAGGCCUCUGGAUGCACUGGAUUCCCUGGAACAGUUAGCAGGACACAGGGCAAAGGCCUUUCUCCUUCUGUCGGUAAUCAAGACCAUCUGAGGACCCACGGGGCGCUCACGUUCUACCUUCCCUGGCUUGGCUGAGGGUUGAGAGGGCCUCGGGAAGGGUGGAGGGAGGAGGGAGAAUGGACAUAGGCCCAUCUUUCGGCCUAGAUGGAGGAACCGUGUGCUGGCUGGGCAGGCUGCUGGCAGAGGUCAGGAGGGCUCUUCCCUGAGCCCUGCCAUCCAUGAACUGUGUAACUUUGAUCCAGGCCUUGUCCCUCUGGGCCUCAGUUUCCCCAAGCUGGAUGUGUCGUCCCCCUGCUUCAUUCACAAUUACCACCAGAAGGACCAACACCACCCUGCAAGACUCAAUGGGGUGAUGGAUCAAUCAGAAAAAAAAACAACAAAAAAAAACACAGAUCGCCUAGGGCUUAAUUAACAGGAGCAUGGUAUUCAUAGCUGGGGAGGUGAGAGUCGGCUGCAGACUGUACCUAGGCACUAACACUCAGUUCUGGGAGAAAAUGACAACUGAUGCCUGUUCAGGAGAGGGCACUGCGGUGGGUCUUGCAAGGAACAGAUAGGAGAAGCCCUGAGACUUGGUUUGGAGGAAAGAGGCCCAGAAGGUCAUGACUGCCACCUCCAGAUGCGCUGUGGCCCCGGAGCAGUACUAGAAAGCCCUUUCCUAGCUAUGAGACCUCCUCCACAAAGGAAUGCACGUUCAAUGAGGUAGUGAGCUCUCUAGUCCCGGAGAUAUGGAAGCUGAGGCUCGCAGAAGUAUAGUGGCUCAUCUGGAGUCACAGCCAGAAAACAGAGGCACAGGAAUGUGAACACAGGACCCAGGAUCAGUAUACCUGGAGCCUG